rnacentral:rRNA from 1 species
CACGUAGGGCGCGAGCGUUGUCCGGAAUUACUGGGCGUAAAGCGUGCGCAGGCGGCUUCUCAAGUCAGGGGUGAAAGCCCAGAGCUCAACUCUGGAAUUGCCUUUGAGACUGAGUGGCUUGAGUACGAGAGAGGUGAGUGGAAUUCCCAGUGUAGAGGUGAAAUUCGUAGAUAUUGGGAAGAACACCGGUGGCGAAGGCGGCUCACUGGCUCGUAACUGACGCUCAUGCACGACAGCGUGGGGAUCAAACAGG